AACGUUACUUACAGGAUGGGCCCACUACAAACUUUCACUCUCUCUUGCGCUUGCGCAGCCUCUUCUUCUCCGAUCCCGACUCCAACUCUCCCUCUCUCCUUCGCCUGGCACAUCCUCGGCGGCGCGGCAGCCUGCUUCUUCACCGGCGCGGCGGCCUGCUUCUUCGACGACGCGGAGGCCUACGGCGGCCUACCGAGCGGACGGGUCCACGGACGAACGGAUCUCCGGCGCCUGGCAGAUCUUCGGCGCGCGGCCUACCGGUUGUGGACGGAUCUCCGCUGCCUGGUGCCCUGGCAGGCAGACGCGGCAGCGUCUUCUCCAGGCGGGUGGAUCUCCAGCGCUCCUCGAGCUGGAGCAGGCAGGCGUGCCGGUCUUCUCCAGGCGGGUGGAUCUUCACCGGCGCGGCGGCCUACCGGGCGGACGGAUCCGGUCGAUCUCCAGCUGCUCCGUGCCUCUGCUGCUCCGCGGCCUGAGCUCCGGGCGGACGGAUCCGCGGCCCAGCGACUCCGCUGCCUCUGCUGCUCUGUGUCUCCAGCGGAUCCGUGCCUCUGCUGCUCGGCGUCCUGAGCUCCGGCCGUCUCGCGCUGUUGCUUGCUCCUUGAAUCCGCACACAUGUGAUUGGUCAAAUAAA